rnacentral:rRNA from 1 species
GACGUAGGGUGCAAGCGUUGUCCGGAUUUAUUGGGCGUAAAGAGCUCGUAGGCGGCUUGUUGCGUCGACUGUGAAAACCCGCGGCUUAACCGCGGGCUUGCAGUUGAUACGGGCAGGCUAGAGUUCGGUAGGGGAGACUGGAAUUCCUGGUGUAGCGGUGAAAUGCGCAGAUAUCAGGAGGAACACCGGUGGCGAAGGCGGGUCUCUGGGCCGAUACUGACGCUGAGGAGCGAAAGCGUGGGGAGCGAACAGG